rnacentral:lncRNA from 1 species
GACCUUGGCAGAGAGCGCCCUGGGAAAUGCGGAUAUAGAAGGUCAGGAGAACAUCUCUCCUGGUUAUACAGCAUUCCAGGACUCCUCAUCUGUUUUUAAGAGGGAAAUCUGAGUUUUCAAGGAAAGCCGAAUACAGUUGCCAAGUUGCCAGUCAAAGAAACAAUGUCAACACCUGCUCAUAGAGAUGGAAUUCCUAACCCGGAAUAUUGCCCUUGAAUUACAACGAGAAAAAGCACCUCUUCAAGUGAGAUGGCAGACCACCUCAGGAUGGAAAUGUAUUUCUUCAUCCCCCUCUCUACUUCCCUGUGACCUCCUGCAAAUAAGAUAUUCAUGGAUCCAAGCCUACCUAUGUGAAGUCUGGUUGUAGAGGUGAGGCCAUGUGGAAGGCAGUUUGCAAACUCUAUCAGCCACCUGUACAGGUGAUGAUAUGGACAGGAGACAGGGACAUACUAGGGAGAGACAAAGAGAAGAGCAGAAGAACAGAAGAAUGGAGUGGCAAAGAGAAGAGAAGGAGUGACUGAACAUUGACAAGACUUUGGUUGGGGAUGGUCAGAGAGGAGAUUAGCUGCUAGACGGCCACACUGCGGAGAAAGAUCAUUUUCCCACUCCAUCCCCCUUCCAGCUCCCCAUCCAUCUCACCAAGAGCCAGCUCCACCACUCAAUAAAACCUUACAUUCAUCUUUCAA